CCGUAUAUAAAGCCUAUAGCCAACUAACUGGAAUUAGCAUAUCAAACACAAAUAAGAAGAAUAGAGAUCGAUGCGUCUUUACCAUUUUCUGCUUCUUCUUCUUCUUCUUCUUGCCAUCUCUCUUUUCACGCUGUCCUCCCAUGCCUGUGCAGAGAUGACGACCAUGAGAAAACUGGCUGGUGCAUUGCCACGUGCACCACCUUCACCAGAGGCAUCUAAUCGACCACCGAAGCAUUAGAAAUUUUCCAGAAUAAUCAAGAGAAUGAUAUAUAUAAUAGAGAUCAUAUGUGAGUUUUGUCUUGUCUGGUCUGGGACCGGGAGUGGCUGGGAUGAAAAUAUGUACUUCUUGUUUGUUUGUUUGUUUAGUCUAGGGGUUUUGUUUCCUCAUAUAUGUGUAUGUAUCUAUGCAUGAAUAAAUUGAUCCAUGGUUUUUUACAUUGUC